UUCUGUUAUCAUCACAAUUAACUGCAAUGAACGUGCAGUAAUUUCUGGCACAAUCUCCUGCUUGACAAAAUAAAUCGAAAGUGCUAUAUUUAAUUUCAGAGCAGGGUUUCUUCUUCGCAGAUACACUGAAAUGUUUACACAGUUUGUUUCUUGGUUUCUAACUUGAUUUUCACAUUGGCAGGAUGCAACCGACGCUCUGUAGACUAACGGGAAAGGUUUGGACGGCAUAAGAUGCAUUAGUGCAUUCUCCAGCAUAUUUUUGAGACACGGAAACUUGAAGAGCGGAACUUUUUUUAUUUCCAUGUGCAGCAUUUUAUCUUUCGUUAACUAGUAACUGCACGCUUUUUAGGCCUACCUCAUAAACGAAGACUUUUUGACAUGGAAAGUGCGGUCGUGCUCUGAGGAGAGGCGAGAUCCCCUCUGCUGAAGCUGCAUGGACUUUUUCUGGAGAGCCCUGACGCGCAGGGCUCCGUUUUAUGAGGGUAAUUACUCCUAACAGAAAACAGAGACCACUGUACUGACGCAUUACAAAUCACAUGAAGCGAAGGAGCACGAAGUCUUCAGUGAUCUCUGACAACAGAUCCGUUAUCCGCAUAUAGGACAUAAUGCACUAAUGAAACAAAAGCCUGUGAUCUCUGAACGACUCCCUAAUGAGAUUCGCGCAAAACCGCCAAGUGUCAUAUUUUAAACUGAGGGGUUUUUUUGCAGAAGGGAAGCGUGUUGGAUGUGAUGUCUGCAGUCAUGAUUUUGAUUAACUUUUUUUUCUUCAUGUCGUGGGUGCAUUCACAUCGGGAGGCAGACAGACAGGCUGGAUGCUCUGCACGGCUGCACCUCCUCACGGUCUGUGAGUGAGUGUGAGAUAGCAACGAGCACUCAGUGUUCGGCCAAGGACAACAAGAAGUUCCUUUUGGACAGAGGGGCCAGUCAUGAAUCAGGUGUGAUACCUGCACCCAGCAUCAGCAGAACGCCAAACCAAACACACGCAAAAGUGGAGCUGUGCUCCAGCUCAACUUCUCUCUGUGUGGAAGUAAUUACUGAGGUGUUGAAGUUGUCACUUUUUCUUUGCUGUUAAAAACACAUUAAUUUGAAUGCUCGCACAGAAACACUAUUUCACCGAAGACGUUGACCUCUAAACAGGCUCUGUAGAUUUACCAGCUCACCUUUGUGAAGCACUUAAAUGUGCAUGUACUUGUUUGGCCAAUAAUGAUCACACCAACUCUUUCCAGUUCAGACGACUUCUCCGCAUAAGGUUUUGAUUUUCUGUUCGUUGUUAUAUUCUGGUCUCACUUCUGCCAUCUGACUGCUGUUCAGCUUCAUGAGAGGGUAUGACAGUUUCUCAAAAUGUAAUGAAUUAGCUAAAACAUUCAGCAAACAAGUUAAAAUGAAUAAUUUUCCUCAUAUUUUCCAGUCCGCAUUGGAGCACUCGCAGCUGUUAAAUGCAGCCAAAUGCAGUCAUGAGAAUGAACUCACCAUGUUUUUGAAGAGGUUAAUUAUUCCCAAAGAAUCAUGACACAAACAAAGAUGGCUUCUGGAAAUGACAGGUGCUUGUACCCGCUUGGUGACCACAGUUACAGGCAGCUGAGUCAGAAAAACUGUUCACAUCAGCCUCCUAGUUGUAAUUCCAAGAUAUUGGGAAUUACUCAUAGCAAUAAUAUUUCCCACUUGACGAAAAGAUCUACACAGGUCAACAUUGUGAAAGGCACCAUUGCUGGCAACUUCUUCUAAAUAAAAUCUAAUUCUGCUAAUUUAAAAUGAUAUAUUCUGUAUUUGUAUACAGUAUUUGUUUGAACCUGCAUUCACUUGUUAAUGUGACUACAAUGCAAGCAGUGGGGGUAACCAUCUUAGAAAAAUGCAUGAAUGCUCCUGAAAAAUAAAACCUGAAGGUUUUCGUAUCCCAAUGCAUGAAUGGCAUUACUCAUCCAGUUGCCAUCUUUGUUUAGGUCAAGGAAUUAUGUUAUAUCGUUCUUGUGAAACAGAUUAGAAACACUUGUUUGUUGUAAAUUGAGGGAAUAUUGUUAUACAGGCAGCAGAAAGGAGUCUUUGAAGGUCACGGGAUAUCUUCAAAAACAGCUUUGUUAAAUGACCUGACAAGACUGUUCAAGUUUUCAACUCAUUUUUGUUUGGCAAAAACAGUGGCUUAUUUCUGUGACUCCAGUGCAAUCAGCACUGCAUAUGCAUUUAAAACUGUAAAAAUGAUGAGUGCCUAUACAUUUGUAUUUGAAAAUUUUUACACAUUCACUGCAUUAAAUAAUGUGGUUCCAAA